rnacentral:rRNA from 1 species
GAGACAGCAGUAGCCACGGUAAUACAGAGGGUGCGAGCGUUAAUCGGAUUUACUGGGCGUAAAGCGUGCGUAGGCGGCUUUUUAAGUCGGAUGUGAAAUCCCUGAGCUUAACUUAGGAAUUGCAUUCGAUACUGGGAAGCUAGAGUAUGGGAGAGGAUGGUAGAAUUCCAGGUGUAGCGGUGAAAUGCGUAGAGAUCUGGAGGAAUACCGAUGGCGAAGGCAGCCAUCUGGCCUAAUACUGACGCUGAGGUACGAAAGCAUGGGGAGCAAACAGGAUUAGAUACCCCAGUAGUCCCUGUCUCUUAUAC